rnacentral:tRNA from 11 species
CCAGGGUUGGCCGAGCGGUUGAGGCAGCGAACUCAUAAUUCGCGCAAGGCAGGUUCAACUCCUGCACCCUGGA